AUGGUUGGAACAAGGCAAGGAACUAAUACAUCUGACAAAGAAAAGAAAACGGUGAAGAAAGCCAAGAAGCCUACUAUGGAAGCCAAACUAGUGAUCAAUAUGCAUAGUGUUAAAAUGAAAGGGUUAGUUCUAGGAGGGAAGCUUGAAGGUCGAGCCAGAGGUCCUCCCACCAUGGAACCUUUAAAAGAGGUCAAAAAGAAGAAACUGAAGAAGGUUGGUGAUCACACUUCAAAAAGUGACAUUUACCAUAUCUGA